rnacentral:rRNA from 1 species
UACGGGGGGGGCAAGCGUUGUUCGGAAUUACUGGGCGUAAAGGGCUCGUAGGCGGCCAACUAAGUCGGAUGUGAAAUCCCCAGGCUCAACCUGGGAACUGCAUCCGAUACUGGAUGGCUUGAAUUCGGGAGAGGGAUGCAGAAUUCCAGGUGUAGCGGUGAAAUGCGUAGAUAUCUGGAGGAAUACCGGUGGCGAAGGCGGCAUCCUGGACCGACAUUGACGCUGAUGAGCGAAGGCCAGGGGAGCAAACGGG